rnacentral:lncRNA from 1 species
GGAGGGGCAUCAGGGGGAAAGGGAGGGGCAGCGGUAGGGGCUCGCCUGGAAGCUCCUACGAGAGGAGGGAGGAGGAGAGAAAGAGGAAGAGGAUAAGGAGAGAAAGAGAGAAAGAGAAGAAGAGGAUAAGAAGAAGAAUGCACGGGAGAGAGGAGGAUGGAGAGAAAAUUAAGAUAAGGAAGAGAGAGGGGGCGGUGGCAGGUGGGGAGGGCCUUUUAUCCCGGUUGGUAAUUCCAACCAGGACCAAUGUUUUAAUCCCCGUUGGUAAUUCCAAUCAGGAUAAAAGGGUGGACCUUUUAUACCUGUUGGGAUUCCGAACCGGGAUAAAAGACCCCUCCAGUCCUCUGACCUUUACAACCGGGACUAAAGGGGCCCUUUAGUCCUGGUUGGUGAGUCCCCUACCCAUGGCUGAGUUUCAGACCCGGUUGGUGAAUUUUAGUUAGAGCUAAAUUUAAAGUGG